GAUAACAAAAGGUUGUAGGGCUUUGCCUGCUAUCUCUUACCCAUGUCUUUUGAGUACCUUACGUUUCCUCGGUGGGUUCGCCCACCGAUUGGACAAAUUUAAACCCUUUGCAGUUGAAAUCAGCGUCUGAAAAAACUUAAUAGUUACAACUUUCAACAACGGAUCUCUUGGUUCUGGCAUCGAUGAAGAACGCAGCGAAAUGCGAUAAGUAGUGUGAAUUGCAGAAUUCAGUGAAUCAUCGAAUCUUUGAACGCACAUUGCGCCCCUUGGUAUUCCAUGGGGCAUGCCUGUUCGAGCGUCAUUUGUACCUUCAAGCUCUGCUUGGUGUUGGGUGUUUGUCUCCUGUAGACUCGCCUUAAAACAAUUGGCAGCCGGCGUAUUGAUUUCGGAGCGCAGUACAUCUCGCGCUUUGCACUCAUAACGACGACAUCCAAAAGUACAUUUUUACACUCUUGACCUCGGAUCAGGUAGGGAUACCCGCUGAACUUAAGCAUAUCAAUAAGCGGAGGAAGGA
rnacentral:rRNA from 1 species